rnacentral:rRNA from 1 species
UACGUAGGGUGCAAGCGUUGUCCGGAAUUAUUGGGCGUAAAGAGCUCGUAGGCGGUUUGUUGCGUCGGCUGUGAAAACUCGAGGCUCAACCUCGAGCCUGCAUUCGAUACUGGGCGGCUAGAGUCUGGUAGGGGGAUCUGGGAUUCCUGGUGUAGCGGUGGAAUGCGCAGAUAUCAGGAGGAACACCGGUGGCGAAGGCGGGAUCCUGGGCCAGUACUGACGCUGAGGAGCGAAAGCGUGGGGAGCAAACAGG